rnacentral:rRNA from 1 species
GUGCCAGCAGCCGCGGUAAUACGGAGGGUGCAAGCGUUAUCCGGAUUCACUGGGUUUAAAGGGUGCGUAGGAGGGUUGGUAAGUCAGUGGUGAAAUCUCCGAGCUUAACUUGGAAACUGCCGUUGAUACUAUCAAUCUUGAAUAUCGUGGAGGUGAGCGGAAUAUGUCAUGUAGCGGUGAAAUGCUUAGAUAUGACAUAGAACACCAAUUGCGAAGGCAGCUCGCUACACGAAUAUUGACUCUGAGGCACGAAAGCGUGGGGAUCAAACAGGAUUAGAAACCCGAGUAGUCC